rnacentral:rRNA from 1 species
AGUCCUACGGGAGGCAGCAGUGGGGGAUAUUGCACAAUGGGGGAAACCCUGAUGCAGCGACGCCGCGUGGGUGAAGAAGCGCCUCGGCGCGUAAAGCCCUGUCAGCAGGGAAGAAAAUGACGGUACCUGAAGAAGACGCCCCGGCUAACUACGUGCCAGCAGCCGCGGUAAUACGUAGGGGGCAAGCGUUAUCCGGAUUUACUGGGUGUACAGGGAGCGUAGACGGAAAGGCAAGUCAGCAGUG